UACGGAGGUCCCAAGCGUUGUUCGGAAUUACUGGGCGUAAAGGGCGCGUAGGCGGCCGAUCAAGUCAGAUGUGAAAGUCCUGGGCUUAACCUGGGGACUGCAUUUGAUACUGAUUGGCUUGAAUUCGGGAGAGGAUAGCGGAAUUCCCAGUGUAGAGGUGAAAUUCGUAGAUAUUGGGAAGAACACCGGUGGCGAAGGCGGCUAUCUGGACCGACAUUGACGCUGAUGCGCGAAAGCGUGGGGAGCAAACAGG
rnacentral:rRNA from 1 species